rnacentral:rRNA from 1 species
UACGGAGGGUGCGAGCGUUGUUCGGAAUCACUGGGCGUAAAGCGCGUGUAGGCGGCCCACUAAGUCUGAUGUGAAAGCCCGGGGCUCACCCCCGGAAGUGCAUUGGAAACUGGUGGACUCGAGUCCCGGAGAGGAGAGUGGAAUUCCUGGUGUAGCGGUGAAAUGCGUAGAUAUCAGGAGGAACACCGGUGGCGAAGGCGGCUCUCUGGGACGGUACUGACGCUGAGACGCGAAAGCGUGGGGAGCGAACAGG